UUUGACUUGUGUUGUUGGGCCUUGGUCAAGGUUGAUUUGACUUUGUUAGGUUAAGAUAAUUGGAUUUAGGGGAUUGAUGGAAUGUACAUUCCAUCUCCCAAAAUGAAUGAAUGAUCUUAACUUGGUAAAAGUCCUCCUUUGUCCAAUUUGUGUUUGAUCCAUUCCCCCUCCCUCUUCAUCUCAUUCCCCUUCUUUAUGCAUUCAUGUCAUGGACCUAUAAUAUCUCAAUAUCCUAAGGCUAGUUGAU
rnacentral:lncRNA from 1 species